UACGAAGGGGGCUAGCGUUGUUCGGAAUUACUGGGCGUAAAGCGUAUGUAGGCGGAUCGUUAAGUCGGGGGUGAAAUCCCGAGGCUCAACCUCGGAACUGCCUUCGAUACUGGCGAUCUUCGAGUCCGGGAGUGGUGAGUGGAACUCCGAGUGUAGAGGUGAAAUUCGUAGAUAUUCGGAAGAACACCAGUGGCGAAGGCGGCUCACUGGCCCGGUACUGACGCUGAAAUACGAAAGCGUGGGGAGCAAACAGG
rnacentral:rRNA from 1 species